AUCAGCGAAAUUGAUUCUGGUAUUGGAGAUCUUCGAUGAUUCUGCCGGGCCAUCUUCAGAGCUUCAACUGCGUUUUAAGAGUUCGCCGCAAUAACAACAGGUUCUCCUGAUAUUUCAUUUACAGUGAUCGCCAGUUAUUUAGGAGUGACUUUUUGGAGAUUUGAUGAUAAUGAAGGAAAAGAUGCUUU